rnacentral:rRNA from 1 species
UACGGGGGGAGCAAGCGUUGUUCGGAUUUACUGGGCGUAAAGGGCGCGUAGGCGGCGACUCUAGUCAGAUGUGAAAGUCCUGGGCUUAACCUGGGGACUGCAUUUGAUACUGGGUUGCUUGAAUUCGGGAGAGGAUAGCGGAAUUCCCAGUGUAGAGGUGAAAUUCGUAGAUAUUGGGAAGAACACCGGUGGCGAAGGCGGCUAUCUGGACCGACAUUGACGCUGAGGCGCGAAAGCGUGGGGAGCAAACAGG